GCAAAACGCGAAGAACCUUACCCACCUUUGACAUGUACGGAAUCCUUUAGAGAUAGAGGAGUGCUCGAAAGAGAGCCGUAACACAGGUGCUGCAUGGCUGUCGUCAGCUCGUGUCGUGAGAUGUUGGGUUAAGUCCCGCAACGAGCGCAACCCUUGCCAUUAGUUGCUACAUUUAGUUGAGCACUCUAAUGGGACUGCCGGUGACAAACCGGAGGAAGGUGGGGAUGACGUCAAGUCCUCAUGGCCCUUAUAGGUGGGGCUACACACGUCAUACAAUGGCUGGUACAAAGGGUUGCCAACCCGCGAGGGGGAGCUAAUCCCAUAAAGCCAGUCGUAGUCCGGAUCGCAGUCUGCAACUCGACUGCGUGAAGUCGGAAUCACUAGUAAUCGUGGAUCAGAAUGUCGCGGUGAAUACGUUCCCGGGUCUUGUACACACCG
rnacentral:rRNA from 1 species